rnacentral:rRNA from 1 species
GUGUCAGCCGCCGCGGUAAAACGUAGGAGGCGAGCGUUAUCCGGAUUCACUGGGUGUAAAGCGCGUGCAGGCGGUUUGGUAAGUUGGGCGUGAAAUCUCCUGGCUCAACUAGGAGAGGUCGUUCAAUACUACCAGGCUAGAGAGUGGUAGAGGAAGAUGGAAUUCCCGGUGUAGUGGUGAAAUGCGUAGAUAUCGGGAGGAACACCAGUGGCGAAGGCGAUCUUCUGGACCAUUUCUGACGCUCAGACGCGACAGCUAGGGUAGCAAACGGGAUUAGAAACCCCUGUAGUCC